GCACUCUCCUGGCAGGGAGGCGGCAAUGAUCAUGAAGGUGGUUUUCUCGGGGAGGCUCAUCCAUUGCUGUGUGAGCCACCGCAUUUCCCCCAAAUCUGGGACACUCAGUUGCCUGGUUUGUAAUAGCUUUCAUUCUCCCCUGAAAU
ensembl:snRNA U1 U1 spliceosomal RNA